UCAGUUAAAUUGAAGAACAUAAAAUUGGUAUACGUAACUAUUUUCAUAUAAAAGCUAGACCUAGACUAGCUUCAUCAUCAGUCAACUUUCGUUCACACAAAUCACCUAAACUAUCCUGAUAUCAUCAUGGUUUCUUCAAAGAUCAUCAUCCUCGCUAUCGUCCUGUUCACCUGCAUCAUGCAUUCGCAAGCUGCACCAUCUGAUGACGGAGACAAGGACACUGACGGCGGCUUUUCUCUUAGCAACUUAGAAGCCAUCAAGAAUUUUAAUAAAAUCUUCUCAGAGAUCUCCAAGAAUCCAAUACAAACCUUCUCAAUCCUUACUAAUUCCAUAAGGGGAAAGGCAAAGGGUUCACCGAAGAACAAGGGCUCGGACGAUAACUAAUUCAAUUGUAUAUUUGUAUGAAUAAUUUUAUAAUGGUGUAUUUUAAUAAACAUUGCAGCAUCAUAAUUUC